rnacentral:rRNA from 1 species
AUUGAACGCUGGCGGCAGGCCUCACACAUGCAAGUCGAGCGGAGCGGAGGACGGGUGAUUAAUGCCUAGGAAUAGGCCAGGUAGUGGGGGAUAACGUCCGGAAACGGGCGCUAAUACCGCAUACUAUCAGAUUAGCCUAGGUCGGAUUAGAGAGUGGGUGGGGUAAAGGCCUACCAAGGCGACGAUCCGUAACUGGUCUGAGAGGAUGAUCAGCCAAACUGGAACUGAGACACGGUCCAGACUCCUACGGUAGGCAGCAGUGGGGAAUAUUGGACAAUGGGCGAAAGCCUGAUCCAGCCAUGCCGCGUGUGUGAAGAAGGUCUUCGGAUUGUAAAGCACUUUAAGUUGGGAGGCGUUACCAACAGAAGAAGCACCGGCUAACUCCGUGCCAGCAGCCGCGGUAAUAC